UGCAUCAAAUGUAUGUAAAAAUCUAGCUUUUAUAUAUUAACUUGUGAUCAGAGCAACUGAUAUUUUACAUAUCCAUUCGAUGUUUAUCAUCAGAAGUUAGUUCUACCUUUGCAGUACCUCUGCUCUACAUACCUCCUCGCUGGUUAAAGAAUGGAAUAUAAAUCUCAUAUCAAGUUGGUGUAAAAAUUUAGUUCAAUAAAUUAAGAAUUUGUAAA
rnacentral:lncRNA from 1 species